rnacentral:tRNA from 1 species
AAGAUUCUAGUAAAACAGAUAUUACACUGCCUUGUCGAGGCAGAAUUGCGAGUUAGACCCCCGCGUAUCUUG